AUUUGUACUAAGUGGGAAAGGAUGUGGAGUUGUCAAAACAGCUAGGAGGUUGGCUCAGAAGCAGCCAUCCUUUAAAGAGUGCGUAAUAGCUCACUAGUCGAGUGACACUGCGCCGAAGAUGUACCGGGGCUAAGUACAAUACCGAAACUGCGGAUUCACAUUUAUAUGUGAGUGGUAGGGGAGCGUUCCAAGUUGAGUUGAAGGUAGACCGUGAGGACUGCUGGAUUACUUGGAAGUGAGAAUGCCGGUGUGAGUAGCGCAAGAUGGGUGAGAAUCCCAUCCACCGUUUGACUAAGGGUUCCUGGGGCAGGUUCGUCCGCCCAGGGUUAGUCGGGUCCUAAGACGAGGCCGAGAGGCGUAGCCGAUGGACAACAGGUUGAUAUUCCUGUACUACCUAUAAGACUGAUGGAGUGACGGAGAAGGUUAGGAAAAGCCAGUUAUUGGAUUCUGGUCUAAGCACAAAGGCUUAUAAAUUAGGAAAUCUGUUUAUAAUUAAGCUGAAGUGUGAUGGUGAAGUCGCUUGCGACGAAAUUUUCUGACACCAUGCUUCCAAGAAAAGCUUCUAGGGUUAAUCUUAUAGGUACCCGUACUCAGAACCGACACAGGUGGUCAAGGAGAGUAUCCUAAGGUGAGCGAGAGAACUAUGGUUAAGGAACUCGGCAAAAUAACCCCGUAACUUCGGGAGAAGGGGUGGUCACUAGAUGACCGACACUAAAGACGCCCAGGCAACUGUUUACCAAAAACACAGGUCUCUGCUAAGUCGUAAGACGAUGUAUAGGGGCUGACACCUGCCCAGUGCUGGAAGGUUAAGAGGAGUGCUUAGAUAGACGCAAGUCGAUUAUUCGAAGGUACGAAUUGAAGCCCCAGUGAACGGCGGCCGUAACUAUAACGGUCCUAAGGUAGCGAAAUUCCUUGUCAGGUAAGUUCUGACCCGCACGAAAGGUGUAAUGAUCUGGGCACUGUCUCAACCAUAGACUCGGUGAAAUCUUAAUACCUGUGAAAAUGCAGGUUACCCGCAACAGGACGGAGAGACCCCAUGGAGCUUUACUGUAGCUUGAUAUUGAAGUUCGGUAUAUUAUGUAGAGAAUAGGUGGGAGACUAUGAAGUUAGGACGCUAGUUCUAAUGGAGUCACCUUUGGAAUACCACCCUUAAUGUAUUGAAUUUCUAACCUCGAUUCAUUAUCUGGAUCAGGGACAGUGUCUGGUGGGCAGUUUGACUGGGGCGGUCGCCUCCCAAAAAGUAACGGAGGCGCCCAAAGGUUCCCUCAGAAUGGUUGGACAUCAUUCAAAGAGCGUAAAGGUAUAAGGGAGCUUGACUGCGAGACCAACAAGUCGAGCAGAUACGAAAGUAGGGCUUAGUGAUCAGACGAUUCAGAAUGGAAUGGUCGUCGCUUAACGGAUAAAAGUUACCCUGGGGAUAACAGGCUGAUACCACCCAAUAGUUCACAUAGACGGUGGUGUUUGGCACCUCGAUGUCGGCUCGUCAUAUCCUGGAGGUGAAGUCGCUUCCAAGGGUUGGGCUGUUCGCCCAUUAAAGUGGCACGCGAGCUGGGUUCAGAACGU
rnacentral:rRNA from 1 species